GGGAACAUACCCUUUUCUACGGAAUAGCUCUGGGAAACUGGAAUUAAUACCGUAUACGCCCUACGGGGGAAAGAUUUAUCGGGGAAGGAUUGGCCCGCGUUGGAUUAGCUAGUUGGUGGGGUAAAGGCCUACCAAGGCGACGAUCCAUAGCUGGUCUGAGAGGAUGAUCAGCCACAUUGGGACUGAGACACGGCCCAAACUCCUACGGGAGGCAGCAGUGGGGAAUAUUGGACAAUGGGCGCAAGCCUGAUCCAGCCAUGCCGCGUGAGUGAUGACGGCCUUAGGGUUGUAAAGCUCUUUCACCGAUGAAGAUAAUGACGGUAGUCGGAGAAGAAGCCCCGGCUAACUUCGUGCCAGCAGCCGCGGUAAUACGAAGGGGGCUAGCGUUGUUCGGAAUUACUGGGCGUAAAGCGCACGUAGGCGGAUAUUUAAGUCAGGGGUGAAAUCCCAGAGCUCAACUCUGGAACUGCCUUUGAUACUGGGUAUCUUGAGUAUGGAAGAGGUAAGUGGAAUUGCGAGU
rnacentral:rRNA from 1 species